GACGACUCUAUUGCCACACCCACUAUUCGGUUGGUAUGAUAUUUUUUGCAAUGCUAAAUUAUCAUGUCGAUAGUCCAUAUUGCAACACUUUGUUUGCUUCAAACAAUAAUUGCAUGCUGAACAAUAUAUGAUGAAAGAAGCAUUUAGACAUCCAUUAAUCCAAAAUAUGCUUUGUUCGUACAAAUCAUUAAUGAAACAAUCCAAUGUCAAACUUAGAUGAUAACACACACACAGUUGAAACACAUAAUGUAUCCGAC
rnacentral:lncRNA from 1 species